GACGAGGUCGACAGCGCCAAGGGCAGCCCUCCGGGCAGUCCGCCGGGCAGCCCCAGGGACAGCCCCGGGGGAAGUCCGACCCACGGCGACGACCAGCGGUGUCGACAGGCGGAGGAAGAAGAACACAAAUCAGAAGAGAACGACAUCGAGAGGAACUUCCGCUUCCUGCUAGAGAGUCUUGGCUUCACCUGUGACCCUCGCGAGGUGACGCUGGUGUCCUCCCGCCCCCACCCCAGCCGGCCGCCUGUGACGCACAUCCUCCACCGCAAGCCGGGCGGCAAGGGCGGCAAGGCGCCCCCCGCCGGCCCUCCCUGCGCCAGGGAGCCCCUUGGGGACCCCAUCGGGGACCCCAUCCAGUGCGACCAGCCCCACAAGGCAGCCCGGCUGGG